UUUGUCUCCCACCAAUUCUAUCUACCCUCACUAUCCAUCAGUUCCCUUUCCAUUCCAUUAGUCCUCUCAUUCCUCCAUUUCAUUCGUCUCUCUCUUUGUCCCAGUCCAUAAAUCCUCCAAUCCCAGCUGCUCAGUCCUCCCCCAGAAUCCAAGAGCCACAGUUUGGGAGGCUGUUGAUGAAAGGCUCACAUCACCUGGAGCUUGGAGCUGAAAAGCAGAGACAGUGAAAAUCUCCAGCAGCAUGAACACAAGCAAUGCAGAGAAAUGAAACGUUUGGAGGCUAAUAAGGAAGUAGGAAGCCAAAGCAAGGAAGUGGCAGUCUCCUCCAGGCAUGGACAACAUGCACUGCCAAAAGCGGUCAUUACUCAGCAAGGAGGGGCAUGGCUUCAACACACGCAACAUAGCUGAAAGCUCCCCGAGCACUCCCACAACCUCAUUGAGCAGCACUGGCAAAAUCUAAGCAGAGAAGACUCUGACCCAGAGUAAACAGAGUACGCCCCGCAGAAUUUGAGACAACAGACCAGAUUCUCAACUGGCUAGGUUAGAAGAAAAGCCCAGCACCAGGUCCAUCUGAUGAAGGAAGUCUGGCAGCACUGGUAAAGGGCACUGGGUCUUGCAGCAGCAGAUCUGGAGAGAGUGAGCUGGAGGCAAUCUGAACACCUCUAAGAACCACAGCUGCGUUGGGAGAAGUACGAGUAGCAGGAUAAUCUGUUCCCUUUCUUGCCUGUAGGGUUGCCAACUGUCCAAUCACACAAGCCCAAACGUCCUUGCCCCACCCCAACCCCUCCCCGAGCCUUCUCUGAGGCCCCGCCCCACUCACUCCAUCCCCUCUCCCUCCGUUGCUCACUCUCUCCCACCCUCACUCACUUU